CCGAGCUCGGCCAGGUCGAGGUCCUGGUCGACCAUGACGACCCGCUGCCCCGCCGCGAGCGGCGCCCACAGGUUCGGCACCUGCAGGUCGAAC
rnacentral:tRNA from 1 species